UACGGGGGGAGCAAGCGUUGUUCGGAUUUACUGGGCGUAAAGGGCGCGUAGGCGGCCACCGCAAGUCAGUUGUGAAAUCUCUGGGCUUAACCCAGAAAGGUCAACUGAUACUGUGCGACUAGAGUGCAGAAGGGGCAACUGGAAUUCUCGGUGUAGCGGUGAAAUGCGUAGAUAUCGAGAGGAACACCUGCGGCGAAGGCGGGUUGCUGGGCUGACACUGACGCUGAGGCGCGAAAGCCAGGGGAGCAAACGGG
rnacentral:rRNA from 1 species